UACGUAGGGCGCAAGCGUUGUCCGGAAUUAUUGGGCGUAAAGAGCUCGUAGGCGGUUUGUCGCGUCUGCCGUGAAAACCCGAGGCUUAACCUCGUGGCUUGCGGUGGAUACGGGCAGACUAGAGGUAGGUAGGGGAGAAUGGAAUUCCCGGUGUAGCGGUGAAAUGCGCAGAUAUCGGGAGGAACACCGGUGGCGAAGGCGGUUCUCUGGGCCUUACCUGACGCUGAGGCGCGAAAGCCAGGGGAGCGAACGGG
rnacentral:rRNA from 1 species